AACGAACGCUGGCGGCAUGCCUAACACAUGCAAGUCGAACGAGACCUUCGGGUCUAGUGGCGCACGGGUGCGUAACGCGUGGGAACCUGCCCUUAGGUUCGGAAUAACUCCCCGAAAGGGGUGCUAAUACCGGAUAAUGUCUUCGGACCAAAGAUUUAUCGCCUUUGGAUGGGCCCGCGUUGGAUUAGCUAGUUGGUAGGGUAAAAGCCUACCAAGGCGACGAUCCAUAGCUGGUCUGAGAGGAUGAUCAGCCACACUGGGACUGAGACACGGCCCAGACUCCUACGGGAAGCAGCAGUGGGGAAUAUUGGACAAUGGGCGAAAGCCUGAUCCAGCAAUGCCGCGUGAGUGAUGAAGGCCUUAGGGUUGUAAAGCUCUUUUACCCGGGAUGAUAAUGACAGUACCGGGAGAAUAAGCACCGGCUAACUCCGUG
rnacentral:rRNA from 1 species